ensembl:ncRNA lncRNA:CR44842 long non-coding RNA:CR44842
GAAUUUCACACCUUUUCCAGCGAGAGCUCCCUCGGAGGCGUUGAGCGAGCAGAUAGAAAUCGGUAGCAAAAAUAAAUAUUUAUACAAAUUAUUAGGCAGCCUGAGCCGUUGCAGUCACGAGUUCGCGGGAAAGGUCACCACGGCAUGUUGCACAAAAGGAGUAGCUUUCGGCUUCCUGGCCGAAAGGAUCGAGACGACGUGGUUACGUGUUUUGCAUGAUAAGCUGGGAAUUUACACAGAUCUAAUAGAUAGAUAUACCCAUCCUGGCCAGUCAUCCUCAUCGGCGGCAUGAAAACUCCCGCAUGAAAAGUGAAAAUAUUUUCACUGGGCGCAAAAGAGAGGCGAAACAGAUUCAGAGUCCUCGUCCUCGUCCACUGAGAUUUAUGAUGACUUUUUAACAUGUGCGUGCAACAGGUCGAGUUCCUCCAUCCUCCAUUGCUGCGUUUUCAUUGUGCCAGACACGCAUUGCCAGCACUCCACGGACAUGGACCCACUGGCACUGGCAAGGUCAGCCACCGUACCAAAGCAAUCUCAGCCACCCAAAACACUCGAGCUCGAAUUCAGGUAACCGAGUGGGCGUGGGUAGGACGUGGGCUUUUCCCACGCAGGACAGGACGUUGAUUCCUGGCCCGUCGCCCGGGAAUUUCCCCCAAAACAUGUGCUCAACAUAUGCGAGUGCCUCAUGGCAUCGCGAAUCAGGAAAUUCCGCCCGCCACUUGCGCUUCCCGCCGCACAGCAAGGUGUCCUUUUUCCGCUUCCCAGAGUUUCGUUUCGCGACUUUUUGUUGCAGCCGCACUUGUCUUCCGCAAGUUGCGCCAAAUGUUUCGCGAUGUGUGUUUUUCCCACCGCAUGUUUUCCCAUUUUUCCAUCCUGCCCAAGGAUCUUAGCACUAAUCAUCCGACAGGGGCGCGUCUUUCAAGCAGCUUCUGAGAAGGCAGAUGCAAAUGGGAUCGUGCGAUCUGGAUGAUGCCCUGAGUCCUGAAAGCGACUCACUUAACUGACUCCGCAGCAAAAAGGGGAAUUAAAAUUCGUAUCAAACUGUUGUUUUAAUCAUUUUGAUUUUGAGCAGAGGAAAAGCUUGCGAAAUAGAAUAUAACGACAACUUCUUGAACAAAUUUGCAAACAAACAAAUAACAAUGGAAAUGCCAGAAGUGACGGGCGUUGAAGAUACCAAAGGGGCGAAAUACAAACUUGACGGGCCAAUUGCAAAUGGCAAUGGGAGUGGAAUUGAAAAAUUGAUUGAGAAUGAAGGCCAAUAAUAAUGGAGUAAGUAAUGAGACUGUCCACAACAGUCGAAGGAAUCGUGGGAGUUGUGUCUCCCUUCGCAUAAAAGGAGCAAAGAGUCCUGGCCAAGAAGCCAGGGAAUGCUCGAAAUUUAUCUAUUGGAUUAAGGUCUCUUUUGUGGACGUCAUUAUGGCCAAUGCUAAAGACAAAUUGGAAAUUUAUUGUUAUGAACAGCGUUGGUGGACGGAAGGAAGGAAGGAAGGAAGGGAGGGAGCGUAGCAAGGAUAACAGACCAGCGAAUAUGCAUAAUAAAAAUGUCAAUCAAUGAACUGCAACGAACCGAACGGAGUCCACCGCUUGGGUCAGUGGUGCUGCCACGAUAAUUGAACAUAAACAUUGCAUUCAAGUAGCAAUUGUUCAAAUUAUUGUGCAUCCCAAAUCCCAAAACCGAAUCGAGAAGCCCAGAAACCAAAACGAACGCAGGACAACGGCAUUGGGUUUGCGGUCAGUGCAGCAGCAGGACUGAAAAUAAGCAGUUUUGUCCAAAAAAGGACAUUUGUAUGUAUGCCGAAGACCGCUCGGAAUUUGGAAUGGUUCCCAGGACAUGUCGACACUGGCAUUUCUGGCAGCCAAAAGGAGACACCAGUGCAAACACAAAUGUUGAUGCCCGCAUUUCGCCCAGACGCUGAGACAAAGCGGAAGGCUGGUCAGGGAGCUGGGCAAACAGUGUUUCCAAUGGCCAAAUCCAAAUUGGCUCUG